GCAUAUCAAUAAGCGGAGGAAAAGAAACCAACAGGGAUUGCCCCAGUAACGGCGAGUGAAGCGGCAAGAGCUCAAAUUUGAAAGCUGGCUCCUUCGGGGUCCGCAUUGUAAUUUGCAGAGGAUGCUUCGGGAGCGGUCCCCAUCUAAGUGCCCUGGAACGGGACGUCAUAGAGGGUGAGAAUCCCGUAUGGGAUGGGGUGUCCGCGCCCGUGUGAAGCUCCUUCGACGAGUCGAGUUGUUUGGGAAUGCAGCUCUAAAUGGGUGGUAAAUUUCAUCUAAAGCUAAAUAUUGGCCGGAGACCGAUAGCGCACAAGUAGAGUGAUCGAAAGAUGAAAAGCACUUUGAAAAGAGAGUUAAAAAGCACGUGAAAUUGUUGAAAGGGAAGCGCUUGCGACCAGACUCGCUCGCGGGGUUCAGCCGGCAUUCGUGCCGGUGUAUUUCCCCGCGGGCGGGCCAGCGUCGGUUUGGGCGGUCGGUCAAAGGCCCUCGGAAGGUAACGCCCCUAGGGGCGUCUUAUAGCCGAGGGUGCAAUGCGACCUGCCUAGACCGAGGAACGCGCUUCGGCUCGGACGC
rnacentral:rRNA from 1 species